rnacentral:rRNA from 1 species
ACGCACGCUGGCGGCGUGCUUCACCCAUGCCAUUCGAACGGAAAGGCCCUGCUUGCAGGGUACUCGAGUGGCGAACGGGUGAGUAACACGUUGGUGAUCUGCCCUGCACUUCGGGAUAAGCCUGGGAAACUGGGUCUAAUACCGGAUAGGAGCCAUUUUUAGUGUGAUGGUUGGAAAGUUUUUUCGGUGUAGGAUGAGCUCGCGGCCUAUCAGCUUGUUGGUGGGGUAAUGGCCUACCAAGGCGGCGACGGGUAGCCGGCCUGAGAGGGUGGACGGCCACAUUGGGACUGAGAUACGGCCCAGACUCCUACGGGAGGCAGCAGUGGGGAAUAGUGAACAAUGGGCGCAAGCCUGAUGCAGCGACGCCGCGUGGGGGAUGACGGCCUUCGGGUUGUAAACUCCUUUCGCUAGGGACGAAGCUUUUUGUGACGGUACCUAGAUAAGAAGCACCGGCUAACUACGUG